CUCACAAUGUUUGAGCUUCAGUCAGUCAGCCCUUUUUGACCUGCUGCUAAGAGGAAGGAAGACAGCUCCUGUGUGGACUCAGAAGACGCAACUGAGCAAAUUGUCAUUCACGGACUCUAUUAUUUUGGAGAACAGUUUUCUGGCAUCCGCCGUCAUGGUGCUUUCCCUGUCUCACCAUGAUCGAGCUGUGUGACUCGACUUCCCACUGGACUUUGGAUUGUCUCCCUUGAUCCUCGACCCCCGCUUGGACACGGACCCCCUACGCCCCCCAUAGCUCCCGACUACCUGCUUGUUUCAUGGAUCUAUGAGCCUGCCCCGCCCCCUUUUUGGACCUCUUGCUCAACAUUUACGGUGACACUCAACAGUUAAUUCUUACAAAUAGUCGCACAUACCAUACACUCUCUUGGAUUUUUGUCAAACUCCAUUCUCUAGUUGAUGAUAUUGUUAUUGUUUGUGGACGAUCCGUCAUUUCCUUUGUUUGUUUUCUUGUUUUUGUAUUUACUUUCCAUAAGUGCUCUUAUUUUGGUUUCCACUUCCUGCUUGUCACGCUGACCACUGUGUUUUGUUCCUCACCUGCCAUUGAUUGCCAAUAAGUCCACGCUUGCUGCCAAUCAACAUGUGUCUGUUAUGAUUAGAUUUUUGAGUCUUUUGUGUUUUCUGUUUGUUUUGAACUCCUGGGGCGGUUUAGCUCGGUUGGUAGAGUGGCCGUGCCAGCAACUUGAGGGUUGCAGGUUCGAUUCCCGCUUCCGCCAUUCUAGUCACUGCCGUUGUGUCCUUGGGGAAGACACUUUACCCACCUGCUCCCAGUGCCACCCCCACUGGUUUGAAUGUAACUUAGAUAUUGGGUUUCACUAUGUAAAGCGCUUUCUUUGAGUCACUAGAGAAAAAGCGCUAUAUAAAUAUAAUUCACUUCACUUCGGUUCCUGUUUGUGCACCUCUCAGUUGGUUGCCAUAGUUACUUAUUAUUUUCUCCUGCCGCUUGUUCCGGACGCACACCUGUGUUUUGUAAUCACUGACAUUAUUUAAGCCUGCCUUCUCCCGUCAGUCAGUCUGGCUUCCUAGUUUGUUUUCGUACAACAACCGACGACUUCUGUUUCCUGCUAGCUUCCACGCUAGGCUCUUUAUCUUCUAGCUCCCAUGCUAGCUCUUUUAGUUGUUUGCUUUAAGUACUAUGAGCAUGUUUUUCUUUGUCAAAGUCUGAUUUAUUUUUAAUUAAAUCAUUUAU